rnacentral:lncRNA from 1 species
GCAAUUCUUAUUGUGAAUACAAGUAACAUCAUAUAUAUGUUUUUUGUGUUGAUCAAAUAAUGUAUUCAGAUGUUAUCUUUCACAAGGUUGCCUAUGGAUUACAUCAAUGGGGUUUGCAUACAUGCACCCAUGUUUUCACAAGCUCAUUGAGUAUUAAAUAGUGUAUUCAGAUGUUAUCUUUCACAAGGUUGUCUGUGGAUUACAUCAAUGGGGUUUGCAUACGCAUAUGUUAUGACAUGUGCAUUGAGUAUUAAUCUUUUCUGCAAAUAUCUACGGCUACAGGUAAGAUCAUUGAGCUACUCCAACAAUUACCUUUCAAAUGGCAUGGUACCAUACCAAGAAAACAGCAUGGUACAGAAGCCCAAAUUCUUUUGCUUUGGGUUGAUGGUACACAUUGCCAGUUUCGAUAUUUAUUAUACAUGUCCAUAGUAUCUCAUUAAAUUCCCCACCAGAUAGUACUCUGUCAUUGCAUCUCCCACACACCCUAUAGUAUGCUUUUCUUCCCCAUCACCAAGUUUUACUGAACAUUCUUAAUAUUUCCAUAAAUGUCAUGUUUUUGUUAUCUCCUUAGGCCCUCUUUUUUCCCUACUUUUCUAAUUUAUGCAACACUGCAACCUAAC